GGGGGCUUGGGGUUCUCUCCGAGACUCCCAACCAUUGUGAACCUACCCGUUACCGUUGCCUCGGCGGGCGUCCCCUCCCUGGGGACGCGGCCCUUCGGGGUGCCCGCCGGCGGCCCACGAAACUCUUUUUGUAUUCUAGUGGACUCUCUGAGAAAACAAGCCAAUAAGUUAAAACUUUCAACAACGGAUCUCUUGGUUCUGGCAUCGAUGAAGAACGCAGCGAAAUGCGAUAAGUAAUGUGAAUUGCAGAAUUCAGUGAAUCAUCGAAUCUUUGAACGCACAUUGCGCCCGCCAGUAUUCUGGCGGGCAUGCCUGUCCGAGCGUCAUUUCAACCCUCAAGCCCUGCUUGGUGUUGGGGUCCUACGGCUGCCGUAGGCCCUGAAAGCUAGUGGCGGGCUCGCUACCACUCCGAGCGCAGUAACGUAUCUCGCUAGGGAAGUGUGUUGCGGGUUCCGGCCGUGAAACCCCCCAUUUACCAGGUUGACCUCGGAUCAGGUAGGAAUACCCGCUGAACUUAAGCAUAUCAAUAAGCGGAGGAAG
rnacentral:rRNA from 1 species